rnacentral:rRNA from 1 species
AAUUGUUCGCAAUGGGCGCAAGCCUGACGACGCAACGCCGCGUGGAGGAUGAAGGUCUUCGGAUUGUAAACUCCUGUUGAUGGGGAAGAACAGGUAUCGGAUGAAUACUCCGGUGCACUGACGGUACCCGUUGAGGAAGCCACGGCUAACUCUGUGCCAGCAGCCGCGGUAAUACGUAGGAUGCAAGCGUUGUCCGGAAUUAUUGGGCGUAAAGAGAACGUAGGUGGCUUGUUAAGUUUGGUCUUAAAGACCGGGGCUCAACCCCGGGAAUGGACUGAAAACUGGCAGGCUAGAGGAUGUCAGAGGAUGGUGGAAUUCCCAGUGUAGCGGUGAAAUGCGUAGAUAUUGGGAGGAACACCUGUGGCGAAAGCGGCCAUCUGGGGCAUUCCUGACACUGAGGUUCGAAAGCUCGGGGAGCAAAC